rnacentral:rRNA from 1 species
CCCAAGAUGAGGCAUCCCACGCCGUUGAGGCGGUAAGGACCCAGGGAGACGACCUGGUUGAUAGGCUCCACGUGUACGCGCGGCAACGCGCUCAGCGGAGGAGUACUAAUCGUCCGAGGUCUUAUC